GACGAACGCUGGCGGCGUGCUUAACACAUGCAAGUCGAACGGAAAGGCCCUGCUUUUGUGGGGUGCUCGAGUGGCGAACGGGUGAGUAACACGUGAGUAACCUGCCCUUGACUUUGGGAUAACUUCAGGAAACUGGGGCUAAUACCGGAUAGGAGCUCCUGCUGCAUGGUGGGGGUUGGAAAGUUUCGGCGGUUGGGGAUGGACUCGCGGCUUAUCAGCUUGUUGGUGGGGUAGUGGCUUACCAAGGCUUUGACGGGUAGCCGGCCUGAGAGGGUGACCGGCCACAUUGGGACUGAGAUACGGCCCAGACUGCUACGGGAGGAAGCAGUGGGGAAUAGUGCACAAUGGGCGGAAGCCUGAUGCAGCAACGCCGCGUGCGGGAUGACGGCCUUCGGGUUGUAAACCGCUUUCGCCUGUGACGAAGCGUGAGUGACGGUAAUGGGUAAAGAAGCACCGGCUAACUACGUG
rnacentral:rRNA from 1 species